CUUAUACACUAAUGGUUCCUCCAUGAAAGGAAAAUGGGAAUCUCAGUAUUGAGUGGUAGGAUUUGUGAUAAUUUUAUUUACUUAUUUAUUUAAGUGGUACUGGGAAUGGAACCCAGAGCCUCACACAGGUUAAGCACAUGUUGUCUGUCUCUAAACUACACCCUCAAUCCUGUAGUGAUUUAAAAAAUCAUUUUAUUUUAAUGUAUUUACAAUUUAUUUACUCCACAUGCAUUUACUCCACAUGCAUUAUUCAUGAUUUGGCUAUUAUGAAUAAUGCUGUUAAAAACAUUUUAUACAAGGUGUGGUUAUAUGUUACCUGGGAUUGAACUCAGGGGCACUCAACCACUGAGCCACAUCCCCAGUCCUAUUUUGUAUUUUAUUUAGAGACAAGGUCUCACUGAGUUGCUUAGUGCCUUGCUACUGCUGAGGCUGGCUUUGAACUCGUGAUCCUCCUGCCUCAGCCUCCUGAGCUGUUGGGCAUGUGCCACUGUGCCCAGCCACAUGCAUUAUUUUUAUAAUUAGAGUUAAUGUAAAGUAAAAGAUCAAUAUAAAAUAAAAUAGUGGAUUAAGAUUCAUUUAAGGGGGCUGGGAAUAUACUUCAGAAUACCUUCCAGAGCAUGCACAUGGCCCUAAGUUCAAUACCCAACACUGGAAAAAAAAAAAAAUUAGAAAAGAGAGAAGUAUUUUUUUUGUCCUCUACCUACCUUGUAACCACAACAACAAAAAUAGUUGUAUUGAGACAUAAUUUACAUUCCAUAAAACCCACUCUUUUAAAGUCUAUAAGUUUGGUGGGUUCUAACAUAUUUAUAGAAUUAUGUAACCAUCACUAUGUACCCCCAAAGAAACUCAGGCCCAUUAACAGUUACUCCUCUUUUAUACCCACCCCCAGUCCCUAGAAACUAUCAAUCUACUUUAUUUCCUUGGAUUUGUCUAUUCUGGACAUUUCAUAUAAAUGCAAUUAUAUGAGUUGUGGCUUAUUAUGACACAUUUCUUUCACUUAACAUGAUGUUUCAAGGUUCAUUCAUUUUGUAGUAUAUAUAAGUGUUUCAUUUCCUUUUAUUGCCAAUAAGAUGUCAUUUUAUAGAUCUACCACAUUUUCUUUAUCCAUUCAUCAAUUUGAUGGACAUUUGAGCUGUUUUCACAUUUUAGCUAUUAUGAAUAAUGCUAUUAAGAACAUUUUAUGCAAGGUGUGGUUAUAUGUUUUUAUUCCUAUUGGCUGUACAUCCAAGUGUAGAAUUUUGGGGUCAUAUGUUAAUUCUGUUUUCUUUUGUUUGAGGUGCCAGGGACCAAACUCAGGGUCUUUUAUUUUUUUAAUUUUUUUUUUCAGUUGUCAAUGGACCUUUUAUUUAUUUAUUCAUUUAUAUGUGGUGCUGAGAAUUGAAUCCAGUGCCUCACACAUGCCUAGCAAGUGCUGUACCACUGAGUCACAAUCUCGGCCCAAACUCAGGAUCUUGUAGAUGACUUUUAUGUUUAUUUUUCUUUCUUUUUUAAAAGUUUAUUUUGUUUAUUUAUUUUAGACUGAGUUUUGCUAUGUUGCCCAGGCUGGUCUUGAACUCCUGGGUUAAAGUGCUCCUUCCAAACCUCAGCUUCCAGAGAGGCUGGAGUCAUAGUGCACUACAUCUUAUCCAGCUUAACUUUGUUUUUGAGGUGGGGGGUUUGAACCUAGGGUCCAACUUAACUUUUUGGGAGUUCUGUGGGUUAAAACCAGAAGUUAUGUAUGCUUAACACGUGCUCUACCACAGAGCUAUACUUCCA
rnacentral:lncRNA from 1 species